rnacentral:pre_miRNA from 1 species
UAGGUACUCCCUCCGUCUCAAAAUUCUUGUCUUAGAUUUGUCUAGAUACGGAUGUAUCUAGAUACAUCCAUAUUCCAAAAUUCUUGUCUUAGAUUUGUCUAGAUACGGAUGUAUCGACAGGAAUUUUGGGACGGAGGAAGUAUUGU